CAUCGGCUACUUUAGAAAACAUGGCAGGAUGCAAGUUCAACAACGGCUUGAAAAGAACGAGUGUUUCUGGUCAUGGUGGGUGAAAUGCUUCUGAAUCUGCGUUAUGUGUCGCGAGACUUUCCAGCGGUGGAAUCUCACGUGCAGAGCAAGAAGCACAGAGACUAGCGAAGGCCGCCCGCGGGGCUAGCUCCUGCUCCGCCGCUAGCUGCUGCUCUGCCGCAAGCUCCUGCUCCGCCGCCCGCAACGACGUCAACUACAACGCUGGAGGUCACCGGAGGAAAUCCAGCGCCUUGCAACAAAGAACUCAUCACCGAAGACCAACGCAGCAGUGCGUUCUUCAUUCUGUUCCACGAGACUCUGGACCAGACCACCGCGAGCAGACAGCUGGACUUCAUGUGCGCUAUUGGUGACAUGACCAGGUCCAGUCAGGAUCCUGUGGAGCUCAUGGGCCAUGACACGCCCAGGACCUACUUCAGCACCUCAAAGAGAAUGGACCAAAUGUCAACUGGAAGUUUUUAUAUUAAUACAGUUUGAAAAGGAUUGUUUUCCUAGUAUAUUCACAAAAGCUCAGGAGUAGACAUGAACCUGUGCACAAACAUCCAUCACAUAGAGACAUGAGAACUCACACUCACUCACCCACACACACAUACAUUCUAUUAUGUAAAUGAAUUUGCAUUUUAAAAGCAGCUGGAAAUGUUAUUUGUUAUUUUAUGGAUUUUUUUGUUCAAAAGGAACUAUGUUGCAUGUAUUUUUUAAAUAUAUUUACUUAAUUUUAGAGACAUUUGUUCAUGGGACUUAAAUGUUCUGAAAAUGUAUUAAUAAAUAUAAUUUACAACAGCAA